rnacentral:rRNA from 1 species
GACGUAGGGCGCGAGCGUUGUCCGGAUUUAUUGGGCGUAAAGAGCUCGUAGGCGGCUUGUUGCGUCGACCGUGAAAACCCGUGGCUCAACUGCGGGCUUGCGGUCGAUACGGGCAGGCUAGAGUUCGGUAGGGGAGACUGGAAUUCCUGGUGUAGCGGUGAAAUGCGCAGAUAUCAGGAGGAACACCGGUGGCGAAGGCGGCUCUCUGGAACGGUACUGACGCUGAGACGCGAAAGCGUGGGGAGCGAACAGG